GUUGGGUAGGGGAGCGUUCUGUAAGCCUGUGAAGGUGUGUCGUGAGGCAUGCUGGAGGUAUCAGAAGUGCGAAUGCUGACAUAAGUAACGAUAAAGCGGGUGAAAAGCCCGCUCGCCGGAAGACCAAGGGUUCCUGUCCAACGUUAAUCGGGGCAGGGUGAGUCGACCCCUAAGGCGAGGCCGAAAGGCGUAGUCGAUGGGAAACGGGUUAAUAUUCCCGUACUUGGUGUUACUGCGAAGGGGGGACGGAGAAGGCUAUGUUGGCCGGGCGACGGUUGUCCCGGUUUAAGCGUGUAGGUGUGUGUUCCAGGUAAAUCCGGUCCACUUUAACACUGAGGCGUGAUGACGAGGCACUACGGUGCUGAAGCAACAAAUGCCCUGCUUCCAGGAAAAGCCUCUAAGCAUCAGGUAACAUCAAAUCGUACCCCAAACCGACACAGGUGGUCAGGUAGAGAAUACCAAGGCGCUUGAGAGAACUCGGGUGAAGGAACUAGGCAAAAUGGUGCCGUAACUUCGGGAGAAGGCACGCUGACACGUAGGUGAAGUGAUUUACUCAUGGAGCUGAAGUCAGUCGAAGAUACCAGCUGGCUGCAACUGUUUAUUAAAAACACAGCACUGUGCAAACACGAAAGUGGACGUAUACGGUGUGACGCCUGCCCGGUGCCGGAAGGUUAAUUGAUGGGGUCAGCGCAAGCGAAGCUCCUGAUCGAAGCCCCGGUAAACGGCGGCCGUAACUAUAACGGUCCUAAGGUAGCGAAAUUCCUUGUCGGGUAAGUUCCGACCUGCACGAAUGGCGUAAUGAUGGCCAGGCUGUCUCCACCCGAGACUCAGUGAAAUUGAACUCGCUGUGAAGAUGCAGUGUACCCGCGGCAAGACGGAAAGACCCCGUGAACCUUUACUAUAGCUUGACACUGAACAUUGAGCCUUGAUGUGUAGGAUAGGUGGGAGGCUUUGAAGCGUGGACGCCAGUCUGCGUGGAGCCGACCUUGAAAUACCACCCUUUAAUGUUUGAUGUUCUAACGUGGACCCGUUACCCGGGUUGCGGACAGUGUCUGGUGGGUAGUUUGACUGGGGCGGUCUCCUCCUAAAGAGUAACGGAGGAGCACGAAGGUUGGCUAAUCCUGGUCGGACAUCAGGAGGUUAGUGCAAUGGCAUAAGCCAGCUUGACUGCGAGCGUGACGGCGCGAGCAGGUGCGAAAGCAGGUCAUAGUGAUCCGGUGGUUCUGAAUGGAAGGGCCAUCGCUCAACGGAUAAAAGGUACUCCGGGGAUAACAGGCUGAUACCGCCCAAGAGUUCAUAUCGACGGCGGUGUUUGGCACCUCGAUGUCGGCUCAUCACAUCCUGGGGCUGAAGUAGGUCCCAAGGGUAUGGCUGUUCGCCAUUUAAAGUGGUACGCGAGCUGGGUUUAGAACGUCGUGAGACAGUUCGGUCCCUAUCUGCCGUGGGCGCUGGAGAACUGAGGGGGGCUGCUCCUAGUACGAGAGGACCGGAGUGGACGCAUCACUGGUGUUCGGGUUGUCAUGCCAAUGGCACUGCCCGGUAGCUAAAUGCGGAAGAGAUAAGUGCUGAAAGCAUCUAAGCACGAAACUUGCCCCGAGAUGAGUUCU
rnacentral:rRNA from 1 species